rnacentral:tRNA from 1 species
GCCCAAGUGGCGGAACGGUAGACGCAGGGGAUUCAAAAUCCCCCGCCGCAAGGCGUGUGGGUUCGAUUCCCACCUUGGGUA